GUCGAACGGCAGCACGAGAGAGCUUGCUCUCUUGGUGGCGAGUGGCGGACGGGUGAGUAAUAUAUCGGAACGUGCCCAGUAGCGGGGGAUAACUACUCGAAAGAGUGGCUAAUACCGCAUACGCCCUACGGGGGAAAGGGGGGGAUCGCAAGACCUCUCACUAUUGGAGCGGCCGAUAUCGGAUUAGCUAGUUGGUGGGGUAAAGGCUCACCAAGGCAACGAUCCGUAGCUGGUUUGAGAGGACGACCAGCCACACUGGGACUGAGACACGGCCCAGACUCCUACGGGAGGCAGCAGUGGGGAAUUUUGGACAAUGGGGGAAACCCUGAUCCAGCCAUCCCGCGUGUAUGAUGAAGGCCUUCGGGUUGUAAAGUACUUUUGGCAGAGAAGAAAAGGCAUCCCCUAAUACGGGAUGCUGCUGACGGUAUCUGCAGAAUAAGCACCGGCUAACUACGUGCCAGCAGCCGCGGUAAUACGUAGGGUGCAAGCGUUAAUCGGAAUUACUGGGCGUAAAGCGUGUGUAGGCGGUUCGGAAAGAAAGAUGUGAAAUCCCAGGGCUCAACCUUGGAACUGCAUUUUUAACUGCCGAGCUAGAGUAUGUCAGAGGGGGGUAGAAUUCCACGUGUAGCAGUGAAAUGCGUAGAUAUGUGGAGGAAUACCGAUGGCGAAGGCAGCCCCCUGGGAUAAUACUGACGCUCAGACACGAAAGCGUGGGGAGCAAACAGGAUUAGAUACCCUGGUAGUCCACGCCCUAAACGAUGUCAACUAGCUGUUGGGGCCGUUAGGCCUUAGUAGCGCAGCUAACGCGUGAAGUUGACCGCCUGGGGAGUACGGUCGCAAGAUUAGAACUCAAAGGAAUUGACGGGGACCCGCACAAGCGGUGGAUGAUGUGGAUUAAUUCGAUGCAACGCGAAAAACCUUACCUACCCUGGACAUGUCUGGAAUGCCGAAAAAGAUUUGGCAUUGCUCGCAAGAAAACCGGAACACAGNGCUGCAUGGCUGUCGUCAGCUCCGGUCCGGAAAUGUUGGGUUAAAUCCCGCAACAAGCCCAACCCUUGUCUUUAGUUGCUACCCAGAGAUUUUAAUGGAAUUGCCGG
rnacentral:rRNA from 1 species